CAGUCGCCGCGGGAAUACGUAGGGUGCAAGCGUUAAUCGGAAUUACUGGGCGUAAAGCGUGCGCAGGCGGUGUUGUAAGACUGAUGUAAAAUCCCCGGGCUCAACCUGGGAACUGCCUUUGUGACUGCAAGGCUAGAGUACGGCAGAGGGGGAUGGAAUUCCGCGUGUAGCAGUGAAAUGCGUAGAUAUGCGGAGGAACACCGAUGGCGAAGGCAAUCCCCUGGGCCUGUACUGACGCUCAUGCACGAAAGCGUGGGGAGCAAACAGGAUUAGAUACCCCCGUAGUCCCUGUCUCUUAUAC
rnacentral:rRNA from 1 species